CCUGCGUGAAGAGAGCGAUCUGCGCGUCCGACUGCGAAUAGUCGUUUACGAACCACCAUCCGCGAAAGAACAUGGGAACAGAGCCCAACAACCAGCGCCCAAAAACGUACAGACGACUAUUUCGUCCCGGUUGUGCUCCGCCACCGGACGUGGACCGUGAAUCAGCGCCAGGUUGAAGGAGAACCCAGUUGACCACCAAAACCGCAGCGAUACCAAGCCCCCAAAACAAUCUGACAAACGAAAGUGAAAAGGCAGAGAAUCUGGAAGGUACAGUGAGAGAGCGACGAGUAAUACGAUCAGCUGAAGGCUACGAUUCCCCGAUACGGAUACGGAUACGGAUACGGAUUUUCGAAACGAACCGCUACACAAACCAUGGCCCUCCCCAAGCAAGCGAUCGACGUGAUGAAUGCGACGGGCUGCAAGAGCUGCCGCAAGCUGGCAAUAUUUAUUUAUGUCAUCUGGCUGGAAAUAGUGUCCGUGUUGCUUGUGCAGUGCAUCUUGGGCCAAUUGGGCCCGCAAACGGAUAACUUCAAGCGGAAGAAACGGUGCCGAGGACCGCCGUUCUGAAUGCCAUUGCGGGACGACGAUAUCGUCGAGUACCUUUUGGUGUUCUUUUAACGGAACUGAUAGAAUGGUGCGGUUAGUAAGGAGGAGCCGAUGUUAGUGGCCUCUAUUUUAUGCCUAGCAUAAGACACCUAACAUUUAGAGACUGAGGACGUAUAUCUUAAUUUUCAAUGUCGAAGAAUGAAGAGAACCGUUUAUUUACAUUUCGAAAAAUGGGGAGAAAAAAUCUUAAAUCCAAUUGUAAGAGACUAUCAACAUCGAAGACCUUGAUUCCGAUCUUGCCCAUAAAUCAAGAUCCUUUCCCUUUGACUGCCUAUCUUAUGUAAUAUUUACACUAAGUUUACAGUGAUCGCUGAUUUUGGAUUGAUGUAAUCAAGACAUUUGAUGUAAUAAAAGCAAUGUAAAUGAUACGCAACAUGA